AUUGAACGCUGGCGGCAGGCCUAACACAUGCAAGUCGAGCGGAUGAAGGGAGCUUGCUCCUGGAUUCAGCGGCGGACGGGUGAGUAAUGCCUAGGAAUCUGCCUGGUAGUGGGGGAUAACGUCCGGAAACGGGCGCUAAUACCGCAUACGUCCUGAGGGAGAAAGUGGGGGAUCUUCGGACCUCACGCUAUCAGAUGAGCCUAGGUCGGAUUAGCUAGUUGGUGGGGUAAAGGCCUACCAAGGCGACGAUCCGUAACUGGUCUGAGAGGAUGAUCAGUCACACUGGAACUGAGACACGGUCCAGACUCCUACGGGAGGCAGCAGUGGGGAAUAUUGGACCAUGGGCGAAAGCCUGAUCCAGCCAUGCCGCGUGUGUGAAGAAGGUCUUCGGAUUGUAAAGCACUUUAAGUUGGGAGGAAGGGCAGUAAGUUAAUACCUUGCUGUUUUGACGGUACCAACAGAAUAAGCACCGGCUAACUUCGUG
rnacentral:rRNA from 1 species